rnacentral:rRNA from 1 species
CCCUUAGAUGUUCUGGGCCGCACGCGCGCUACACUGGUGCGUUCAACAAGUUUACAACCUUGAUUGACAAGUCUGGGUAAUCUUUUGAAUGCGCACCGUGCUAGGGAUAGAUUAUUGCAAUUAUUAAUCUUGAACGAGGAAUUCCUAGUAAACGCAGAUCAUCAAUCUGCAUUGAUUACGUCCCUGCCCUUUGUACACACCGCCCGUCGCACCUACCGAUUGGAUGGUCCGGUGAAGCCUCGGGAUUGUGGUUCUUGCCGCUUUAUUGUGGCGUGACCGCGAGAACUUGUCUAAACCUUAUCAUCUAGAGGAAGGUGAAGUCGUAACA